rnacentral:rRNA from 1 species
UACAGAGGGGGCAAGCGUUGUUCGGAAUUACUGGGCGUAAAGGGCGCGUAGGCGGCCUGUUAAGUCAGACGUGAAAUCCCUCGGCUCAACCGGGGAACUGCGUCUGAUACUGGCGGGCUUGAAUUCGGGAGAGGGAUGUGGAAUUCCAGGUGUAGCGGUGAAAUGGGUAGAUAUCUGGAGGAACACCGGUGGCGAAGGCGGCAUCCUGGACCGACAUUGACGCUGAGGCGCGAAAGCUAGGGGAGCGAACAGG